UACGGAGGAUGCAAGCGUUAUCCGGAAUGAUUGGGCGUAAAGGGUCCGCAGGUGGCAAUGUGUGUCUGCUGUCAAAGACUGAGGCUUAACCUCAUCAAGGCAGUGGAAACUACAUAGCUAGAGUACGGUCGGGGUAGAAGGAAUUCCCGGUGUAGCGGUGAAAUGCGCAGAUAUCGGGAGGAACACCUAUGGCGAAGGCAGCUCGCUGGGACGUUACUGACGCUGAGACGCGAAAGCGUGGGGAGCAAACAGG
rnacentral:rRNA from 1 species